GGACUGCCAUCGUAAGAUGUGAGGAAGGUGGGGAUGACGUCAAAUCAGCACGGCCCUUACGUCCGGGGCUACACACGUGUUACAAUGGGCGGUACAGAAGGCAGCUACCUGGCGACAGGAUGCCAAUCCCGAAAGCCGCUCUCAGUUCGGACUGGAGUCUGCAACCCGACUCCACGAAGCUGGAUUCGCUAGUAAUCGCGGUCGACGCGGCCGAGUCGUGGAGGCGAAGGCACGCAAGGGAUAGGG
rnacentral:rRNA from 1 species